CAGCCCUUGACAUGUCCGGCUAGCUGCAGAGAUGCAGUGUUCCCUUCGGGGACCGGAGCACAGGUGCUGCAUGGCUGUCGUCAGCUCGUGUCGUGAGAUGUUGGGUUAAGUCCCGCAACGAGCGCAACCCUCGCCCUUAGUUGCCAGCAUUUAGUUGGGCACUCUAAGGGGACUGCCGGUGAUAAGCCGAGAGGAAGGUGGGGAUGACGUCAAGUCCUCAUGGCCCUUACGGGCUGGGCUACACACGUGCUACAAUGGUGGUGACAGUGGGCAGCGAGACAGCGAUGUCGAGCUAAUCUCCAAAAGCCAUCUCAGUUCGGAUUGCACUCUGCAACUCGAGUGCAUGAAGUUGGAAUCGCUAGUAAUCGCGGAUCAGCAUGCCGCGGUGAAUACGUUCCC
rnacentral:rRNA from 1 species